rnacentral:rRNA from 1 species
AGAGUUUGAUCCUGGCUCAGGACGAACGCUGGCGGCGUGCCUAAUACAUGCAAGUCGAACGAAGCUUUCUUUCACCGAAUGCUUGCAUUCACCGAAAGAAGCUUAGUGGCGAACGGGUGAGUAACACGUAGGCAACCUGCCCAAAAGAGGGGGAUAACACUUGGAAACAGGUGCUAAUACCGCAUAACCAUGAACACCGCAUGAUGUUCAUGUAAAAGACGGCUUUUGCUGUCACUUUUGGAUGGGCCUGCGGCGUAUUAACUUGUUGGUGGGGUAACGGCCUACCAAGGUGAUGAUACGUAGCCGAACUGAGAGGUUGAUCGGCCACAUUGGGACUGAGACACGGCCCAAACUCCUACGGGAGGCAGCAGUAGGGAAUCUUCCACAAUGGACGAAAGUCUGAUGGAGCAACGCCGCGUGAAUGAAGAAGGCCUUCGGGUCGUAAAAUUCUGUUGUCAGAGAAGAACGUGCGUGAGAGUAACUGUUCACGUAUUGACGGUAUCUGACCAGAAAGCCACGGCUAACUACGUGCCAGCAGCCGCGGUAAUACGUAGGUGGCGAGCGUUGUCCGGACUUAUUGGGCGUAAAGGGAACGCAGGCGGUCUUUUAAGUCUGAUGUGAAAGCCUUCGGCUUAACCGAAGUAGUGCAUUGGAAACUGGAAGACUUGAGUGCAGAAGAGGAGAGUGGAACUCCAUGUGUAGCGGUG